GGGUUGUGAGGUUAAGCGACUAAGCGUACACGGUGGAUGCCCUGGCAGUCAGAGGCGAUGAAGGACGUGCUAAUCUGCGAUAAGCGUCGGUAAGGUGAUAUGAACCGUUAUAACCGGCGAUUUCCGAAUGGGGAAACCCAGUGUGAUUCGUCACACUAUCAUUAACUGAAUCCAUAGGUUAAUGAGGCGAACCGGGGGAACUGAAACAUCUAAGUACCCCGAGGAAAAGAAAUCAACCGAGAUUCCCCCAGUAGCGGCGAGCGAACGGGGAGCAGCCCAGAGCCUGAAUCAGUGUGUGUGUUAGUGGAAGCGUCUGGAAAGGCGCGCGAUACAGGGUGACAGCCCCGUACACAAAAAUGCACAUACUGUGAGCUCGAUGAGUAGGGCGGGACACGUGGUAUCCUGUCUGAAUAUGGGGGGACCAUCCUCCAAGGCUAAAUACUCCUGACUGACCGAUAGUGAACCAGUACCGUGAGGGAAAGGCGAAAAGAACCCCGGCGAGGGGAGUGAAAAAGAACCUGAAACCGUGUACGUACAAGCAGUGGGAGCACGCUUAGGCGUGUGACUGCGUACCUUUUGUAUAAUGGGUCAGCGACUUAUAUUCUGUAGCAAGGUUAACCGAAUAGGGGAGCCGAAGGGAAACCGAGUCUUAACUGGGCGUUAAGUUGCAGGGUAUAGACCCGAAACCCGGUGAUCUAGCCAUGGGCAGGUUGAAGGUUGGGUAACACUAACUGGAGGACCGAACCGACUAAUGUUGAAAAAUUAGCGGAUGACUUGUGGCUGGGGGUGAAAGGCCAAUCAAACCGGGAGAUAGCUGGUUCUCCCCGAAAGCUAUUUAGGUAGCGCCUCGUGAAUUCAUCUCCGGGGGGGUAGAGCACUGUUUCGGCAAGGGGUCAUCCCGACUUACCAACCCGAUGCAAACUGCGAAUACCGGAGAAUGUUAUCACGGGAGACACACGGCGGGUGCUAACGUCCGUCGUGAAGAGGGAAACAACCCAGACCGCCAGCUAAGGUCCCAAAGUCAUGGUUAAGUGGGAAACGAUGUGGGAAGGCCCAGACAGCCAGGAUGUUGGCUUAGAAGCAGCCAUCAUUUAAAGAAAGCGUAAUAGCUCACUGGUCGAGUCGGCCUGCGCGGAAGAUGUAACGGGGCUAAACCAUGCACCGAAGCUGCGGCAGCGACGCUUAUGCGUUGUUGGGUAGGGGAGCGUUCUGUAAGCCUGUGAAGGUGUGCUGUGAGGCAUGCUGGAGGUAUCAGAAGUGCGAAUGCUGACAUAAGUAACGAUAAAGCGGGUGAAAAGCCCGCUCGCCGGAAGACCAAGGGUUCCUGUCCAACGUUAAUCGGGGCAGGGUGAGUCGACCCUAAGGCGAGGCCGAAAGGCGUAGUCGAUGGGAAACAGGUUAAUAUUCCUGUACUUGGUGUUACUGCGCGGGGGGGGGGACGAGAAGGCUAUGUUGGCCGGGCGACGGUUGUCCCGGUUUAAGCGUGUAGGCUGGUUUUCCAGGCAAAUCCGGAAAAUCAAGGCUGAGGCGUGAUGACGAGGCACUACGGUGCUGAAGCAACAAAUGCCCUGCUUCGGGAAAAGCCUCUAAGCAUCAGGUAACAUCAAAUCGUACCCCAAACCGACACAGGUGGUCAGGUAGAGAAUACCAAGGCGCUUGAGAGAACUCGGGUGAAGGAACUAGGCAAAAUGGUGCCGUAACUUCGGGAGAAGGCACGCUGAUAUGUAGGUGAAGUCCCUCGCGGAUGGAGCUGAAAUCAGUCGAAGAUACCAGCUGGCUGCAACUGUUUAUUAAAAAACACAGCACUGUGCAAACACGAAAGUGGACGUAUACGGUGUGACGCCUGCCCGGUGCCGGAAGGUUAAUUGAUGGGGUCAGCGCAAGCGAAGCUCUUGAUCGAAGCCCCGGUAAACGGCGGCCGUAACUAUAACGGUCCUAAGGUAGCGAAAUUCCUUGUCGGGUAAGUUCCGACCUGCACGAAUGGCGUAAUGAUGGCCAGGCUGUCUCCACCCGAGACUCAGUGAAAUUGAACUCGCUGUGAAGAUGCAGUGUACCCGCGGCAAGACGGAAAGACCCCGUGAACCUUUACUAUAGCUUGACACUGAACAUUGAGCCUUGAUGUGUAGGAUAGGUGGGAGGCUUAGAAGUGUGGACGCCAGUCUGCAUGGAGCCGACCUUGAAAUACCACCCUUUAAUGUUUGAUGUUCUAACGUUGACCCGUAAUCCGGGUUGCGGACAGUGUCUGGUGGGUAGUUUGACUGGGGCGGUCUCCUCCUAAAGAGUAACGGAGGAGCACGAAGGUUGGCUAAUCCCGGUCGGACAUCAGGAGGUUAGUGCAAUGGCAUAAGCCAGCUUGACUGCGAGCGUGACGGCGCGAGCAGGUGCGAAAGCAGGUCAUAGUGAUCCGGUGGUUCUGAAUGGAAGGGCCAUCGCUCAACGGAUAAAAGGUACUCCGGGGAUAACAGGCUGAUACCGCCCAAGAGUUCAUAUCGACGGCGGUGUUUGGCACCUCGAUGUCGGCUCAUCACAUCCUGGGGCUGAAGUAGGUCCCAAGGGUAUGGCUGUUCGCCAUUUAAAGUGGUACGCGAGCUGGGUUUAGAACGUCGUGAGACAGUUCGGUCCCUAUCUGCCGUGGGCGCUGGAGAAUUGAGGGGGGCUGCUCCUAGUACGAGAGGACCGGAGUGGACGCAUCACUGGUGUUCGGGUUGUCAUGCCAAUGGCACUGCCCGGUAGCUAAAUGCGGAAGAGAUAAGUGCUGAAAGCAUCUAAGCACGAAACUUGCCCCGAGAUGAGUUCUCCCUGACCCUUUAAGGGUCCUGAAGGAACGUUGAAGACGACGACGUUGAUAGGCCGGGUGUGUAAGCGCAGCGAUGCGUUGAGCUAACCGGUACUAAUGAACCGUGAGGCUUAACCUUACAACGCCGAAGGUGUUU
rnacentral:rRNA from 1 species